rfam:Ornithorhynchus anatinus chromosome 1, whole genome shotgun sequence.
CCCCUCUCAGGGUCACACCUGGAGAGUUCCCAGUAUUCUACCAGACUCGACUACAGAAGGGAGAGUCAAGCAGAGGCCUACCCAUUCCAUUCGUAGCUUGGCCAGUGGCUAAUGAGUGGAAGGUGAUCUGCUACAAGU